rnacentral:rRNA from 1 species
GGGUACACGAGUGGCGAACGGGUGAGUAACACGUGGGUGACCUGCCCUGCACUUCGGGAUAAGCCUGGGAAACUGGGUCUAAUACCGGAUAGGACCAUGGUGUGGAUGCUGUGGUGGAAAGUUUUUUCGGUGUGGGAUGGGCCCGCGGCCUAUCAGCUUGUUGGUGGGGUAAUGGCCUACCAAGGCGGCGACGGGUAGCCGGCCUGAGAGGGUGGACGGCCACAUUGGGACUGAGACACGGCCCAGACUCC